CAGCUAUUGGAAGUCACACAACACUAAUGGAUCUCGGAGGCUAAGAAAGAAAAGAUUACGGCUAUGGUCCUCUGCAAGAACAUCUUAUAGAUUCUGGCCUAGAAGUCUAUUUCUUUGUUGGCACUGAUGCGCUUCUACUUUCUGAUGGGGUUCCGGAGAUGUUCUUGCUUGCAGAGGGGAAGACUGAAGCCGAAACAAGUAUGGGCCUGAUAUCAUGACCUACAGAAGCGGGAGCAUGCGACACAAUCCCUCAACCCAAAUGUUGAAACGGCAUCAUUGAUCUUAGAGAG